rnacentral:rRNA from 1 species
UGGGGAAUAUUGCGCAAUGGGGGAAACCCUGACGCAGCAACGCCGCGUGAAUGAAGAAGGCCUUAGGGUUGUAAAGUUCUGUUUACGGGGACGAUAAUGACGGUACCCGUGGAGGAAGCCACGGCUAACUACGUGCCAGCAGCCGCGGUAAUACGUAGGUGGCAAGCGUUGUCCGGAUUUACUGGGCGUAAAGGAUGCGUAGGCGGAUGUUUAAGUGAGAUGUGAAAUACCCGGGCUCAACUUGGGUGCUGCAUUUCAAACUGGACAUCUAGAGUGCGGGAGAGGAAAGCGGAAUUCCUAGUGUAGCGGUGAAAUGCGUAGAGAUUAGGAAGAACACCAGUGGCGAAGGCGGCUUUCUGGACCGUAACUGACGCUGAGGCAUGAAAGCGUGGGGAGCAAACAGG